GUGCUGCAAAUACAAUCCAGUCAGUGAAGUGUCAGGUACUGUGCCCAGGUACUGAGCACUUGCAUGAUUAACUCUUACUCGCAAUAACGUCACGGGGCUAGGUGAUGGGGAAGGCACAAGCCUUGUGCCCUCCCCCGCUGAUCCAGGGUGGCCUCAGCACCUCGGUGACAGGCUCUGACAGUCUGUGGGAUGCAUGAACGUGAUGGCUGAAGGCUCCUACCUGCCGGUGUCAGCAUCAGCACCAGGGCCCGAACUCACUACGUGUUAAAAAUGGAGGUGUCGUUCCUGGGCGUAUGUGCGUAUAAUUCAGCUAGUGCUCUCAUGGCGGUGGCCAGGCCGCUGCCAGGUUUCUCAGAAUCCUGCCACCUCAGAGAUUCAGAGAAGCUUAGAUUUUCAGAGAAAGUCUGUUGGUACGCCGCAGAGAUGUUAACCACAGAGCCUGAGCAGAAGCCAGGUGAGAGUUAGUUCAGCAGGCCAGGCAGAGUUCACCCUUCCUGUCCCCAGCUGUGGGCAGAGGCCCCAAAGCACAGUGUAAAUGUCAGAUCCAUGCCCCUGAGCGUGUGUGGGAGGAGCACUGUCCCAGGAGUCAGCAGCCCAGCAGUCAGCUCUGCCCUGUCCAGCAGUACACAAAGCCCACCCAGGCCACACAGCAACCAUCCUCCUGCUUAGGCAGGGUUUGGUCCCAGCUCAUUCAGAAGACUUUGGGGAGCCCCUCCCAGUUUCUGACACUUGGCUUCUCCAUCGGAAAAUGAAAGGGUUACAUUAGACCAGGUCCUUUUUUCAAACUUUUCUGACCAUAACCCACAUUAAGACAAACAUUUUACACGUACUACAUAGGACAACCUCAAGUGCUGUAACUCACAUCCCAAGAUGUCAAUGGCUUAACGCGAGAAAAGUUAAUUUCUCACUCACAUAAUUUCAAUGCACUGUUUCCUGCUUUGUGGGUGGCUGUCCUCCACAAAGUGAUUCAGGAACCCAGCCACCCUGACCCAGAAGUAAAAUGUCACUUUCAAUCACAUUCCAUUAGUGACGGCAAGUCACCCAGGGGCCCCGCCUAAAGCAAGGGUCUGGAGGUGGUCACUCCAGGAGCCCACCCCCUCCCUCGGGACACACGUAUUCUCUGAGAGGGGAGCACAGAUCUGGCAGCCAGUCAGCCACCUCUGACACACCCUGGAUACACACACACACACUCACCCAUGCAACUGAAAUAGAAGGUUCGUGAAACAAACUUGCUCAUCCUGCAUGUGAUGCUUCCUGAUUCUAAUACCUUCUACCUUAUUUUAUUUUAUUAGUGCUGGGCAUGCCCCACUAUUGGAUCAGUGCCUACCGUUUACAAAUUCAGACGAUUACUCAAAGAAACGGCCAUAAUAUUAUCCUACUCUGUAGAGUGUAUAGAGUUGAAUGGCCACAUGUCUUGAAGGACUUAAUUCACCCAAGAAGAGGGUUACUUAACACCCUAGCUGCUGCUCAGGGGAAGAUGCAAUGCAGAAAAGGUGACUUUUAGCCCACUAUAGACUCAGAUGAACUACUAAUCUAUCCAAAGAACUGAGGCCUGGCCAAACGUCCAGGAGCAGAAGGCACACCUGGGGGCCCAGGAGGAUGGUUUCUAAAGCAAGUCACAGACCGGAUUGGAGGAGGCUCCAAGCCUCCUUCUGAGAGGGAUUUUGCAAGUUCUUUUCCCAGAAUGCAGUUGACUUUGGACAAAAUUCCAGCUAGGUGGCAAUGAUGAUGCCCUAGAACAGUGGAGAAGGAGCAGGCAUCUUAGCCCCUGCCAUGAAAUAUCCUGGUAUUGCCCCCAGACCACCUCUUCUCUCUCUUGCCCCCACCCCCAGGAAGUAUCUAGUCUGCCUCCAUCUCAUUGCUGAUGCUCCCUGAGCUCUGAUGGGUCUGCAAAACAACUUCUGCUCUGGAAGCUCUUUUCUCAGAAACACCUGGGAGAGGGCCCUAUAACUGUGACUCAGCUUAUGACGUAUAUGACCCAAAGUCACACUGGAGACACUGGCCCCUUUCUUUGAAGAGACAAAUCAGCCUUCAGUGAGUGACCUAGAUCCAAUUUCAAAAUUUCCAACUAAUUUUGGUCAAUGUACCAUAACUUGUGCAACUGUCCUAUUAUGAACCGAGAGCAAGGAGCCUCUCCAUGGAAAAGGUGUGUGAGGGCAGGAAUAUGGGAUUGUUCAGGCAGUGGAUCUGGGUUCAAGAAGGGCCUCUGCCUCCACAUAAGCUGUGAGCUCUUGAGCAACAUGCACAACUUCUCUCAACCUCCAUUUGCCUACCUGGGAAUGGGAAACAUUACCUGCCUCCCAGGAUAUGUGUGAGAAGCAGAUGGUUUAAAGUAAGUGAAGGGCAAGACUCAUGGUGAGUACCCCGUAGACACUGCCCUGUCCACCCCCAACCUCUGGAAGAGGAAGGGCCACAUAACACAUUUACUUUCUAGGUGUAGACUUCAUUGCCCUUCUGCAUGGAAGUGACAAGCCAAACGAGCCCUUUAUUAGGAAUAUAUGUGUGGUGGACAGGUGUAUUCCGAGGGCCACACACACCCAGCCCAGCCAAGGGACUGACCGUGGGGAACCUGUUGCUACCGUGUAUAUUCCCUGACAAGUCCAAGUAUGACAAUUUGUGAAUCUGAGAAAGGCGGACUCGGGAGUAGAGGAGGGAUGUGAUGUGUGCCAAACCAGGAAGAAAGGGUAGCAGGUGGAUUUGCCCAAAGAAGCGAAGUGUUGAGCUGGACCUUGGAGUUGACUGGGCGGUUUUGUGGGGAGGUGUUCUAGACACUGGGACUAGCGGCAUACACAGAGUGUGCAGAGGUGAGGCCCCGAGCAGGGAGGCAGCAAAGGAGGUUCUUGGUGGAGUGGGGGCCCUAAGCGAGAGACCCCAGCAAGGUCUGAGGACUCCAAGUCCUCUCUGGGACCUUCUCCCCACUCUGGGGUUGUGUUUAUUAGAGGUGAAGGCUUCUACAAUAUCUGUGGUUCAAAGCUCAAAUUUAAGGAAUCGCCUCAGAAUGGCCAGGCUGUCUCAGAUGGGAGCCUGGGGAGAUUGGCACUGCUGUAGGGAAGCGGCAUGAGCAAAGGCAGAGAGGCUGGGAUAAAAGAAGGAAAGAAAGACAGUCUAGAGAGACAUUUCUGGUGUCAGGGAGGAGCAUGAGCUGGAAAUAAGAAGGAUCUGAGUCUCUGCCUUGGCCCUGCUUCUCGCUGGGUAGCCUUGGGCAAGUCACUUCCCCUCUCUGGGCCCCAGUCUUAUCUCCUUAUUGAUGAAAUGAGAGGUAGGAACUGCGCAGAAAUCACCUGUAGGGGCCUAGAGUGGGGACUUCCAGAGCUGAGGGUGUGGGCAUACUCACCACCCGUCCAGAUCCUGGAAUCUGGGCACGGCACAAAUGGCUGCAGAUGAAAGAGGGGAGGGUGAGAGGGAAUCAGUGCAUCAGUGAAGGCCCCACAACCUGUUCCUGGGACAACAGGCUGUUACAGAUAGGGAGAGCAAAGACAUGGAGGAAUUCUGUAACUCAUGAUUUCUAGUGGGAGUUAUGGUGCAAUGGCUUUGGAAAAUAGUUCAGGGGCUUCUAAUAAAGUUAAACAUACACUUAACCAGCAGUCACACCCCUAGGUAUUUACUGAAGAAAGAUGAAAUACACGCCUCACAAAAAGACUUACACAUUACCAUUCACAACAGCUUUGUUCACUAUAGCCCCAAACUGGAAAUCACCCAAAAGUCCAUCAACGGACAGCAAAUGGCAGAAUGGCCAGGUGACGGAGAGCCACUCAGCAGUACAAAGGAGUGAGCCUUGGGUACACACAGCAUGGAUGGACCUCAUGGACAUAAGGGGCUACUUCAAGGAACAAAUCAAAGCACACCUGACGGAGGGUCCAAAACAUCACUACGAGUAGGGAAAUAAAAUAACCAAAGUCACAACAACAGAGAGCAAGUAACACUCUCCAAAAAUCACUUCCUGAAGGGCCAGGCCCUGGACACUGUAUGACCCCCCUUUAAUAUAGGAGUACUCGCAGGUGCAGCACAUAACAAGCUUUUAAAACUCAUAAGGGACAGAAAACUAGCCAAAAUGAUGAAAUGGAAGAAUUCUCCUCCAAAGAAAUUCCAGGAAGAAGUGACAGCUAAAGAACUGAUCAAAACAGAUUUAAGUAGUAUAACUGAACAAGAAUUUAGAAUAAUAGUCACAAAAUUAAUUGCUGGGCUUGAAAAAAAGCAUAGAGGACAACAGAGAAUCUAUUGCUACAGAGA